ensembl:rRNA 5S_rRNA 5S ribosomal RNA
CCAUAGGGUGGUAACCCUGAACGUGCCCGAUCUCAUCUAAUCAUGGAAGCUGAACAGGGUCAGGCUUGGUUAGUACUUGGAUGGAAGAAGAGAUAUGCAAUACCAUAUUGG